UCCCUGGUGGUCUAGUGGCUAAGACUCCACGCUCCCAAUGCAGGACGCACAGGUUCAAUCCCUGUUCAGGAAA
rnacentral:tRNA from 1 species